UACAGAGGGUGCGAGCGUUAAUCGGAAUUACUGGGCGUAAAGCGCACGUAGGUGGCGACGUAAGUCGGGUGUGAAAGCCCCGGGCUCAACCUGGGAAUUGCAUUCGAGACUGCAUUGCUGGAGUACGGAAGAGGAAGGCGGAAUUCCCGGUGUAGCGGUGAAAUGCGUAGAUAUCGGGAGGAACAUCAGUGGCGAAGGCGGCCUUCUGGUCCAGUACUGACACUCAAGUGCGAAAGCGUGGUGAGCAAACAGG
rnacentral:rRNA from 1 species